AAUCAGCAGGAACACUCGGUAGCUAGUUCUCUCAUUCGCACUCUCCGACUGUCACUUAUUAGCCACUUCUCCCACUCCCUGACUGUCUCUUACUCACUAGCUUUUUCUCCCACUACCUGACUUCAUCUCACUCCCUGUAACUCACUAUUCCUCUUUUUUCCGCUAUCUCCCUCGCUUUCAAUAAUGAGAUACUAGGACUAUUUGGAUACUGUAAAUAAUGUAGCACUUCACCUCUAAUGUCCCCCAGCAUCGCAUGAAGUCUGGCAUUUGGGGUUUUGGCCAUGUCUUUGAGGUUUGUCAUGUGAGCGCUUAGCUCAGCGUAUUUUCUGUAGGGAACUAACAUCAGCAUUUGUAGUGGCCUGUGGCAUCUGAGUAUUCCCAAUAUCGUUGUAUAGCAUUGUCUCCCAUCACUGGAAAUAAGAACUAACCUGUGCUGGAGGCAUGAAUGAUCUGGUCAUCCUCUGUCCAGGGUAGGCAACCG